GUGCACUGUUCGUAACCUGGUUCAAUCUUCAUUGUGAACUCUGGUUCCAUUCCAGUGCUAUAUUGAGCUCCAGUGAGGCAGGGGAGUAGUGCCCCCUUUGUGCUCACUCCCUGUUCACUCUCUGGAAACACAC